AUGCAGAGGGAGCUAGAGAGCUGCCUAAGAAGAGAGUACACCCCUGAAAAUUUACCUUUGCUUCUGUUGCAGAAACGAGUUGGCUACAUUAUGCAGGAGAAUAAUGAUGUCCUUCAGAGAGCUGAAAGAUUGUCUGUUGCUCGAGGAAACUUCCUUAUGGGAAAAAACAAUCCUCCUAACUUAGUGACACAGAAAGAUCUUACUAUUUACACAAAGUGGACCCGGUAUGACCCUGAAAAAGAGAGCCCACUGGAUUUCCUUCGUAAAGGUAAAGUGACUCGUGGUGAUAGUCAUCUGUCAGUGAUGUCAGCAGUGUCUCAGUGUCGUCUAAGCAGAUCAAGCCAAAAUAUGAUCUGUGGCAAAAGAAGCUUUUGGCUAAAUCGAAAGAAUGGAGAAGAACAGAUGUGUUAUUGUAACUCCAGGCAGUUUUUCAAGGCCACCUGCAUGUCCAGCAGUACUUUUGUGGUUUGUUUAGUCAGUUCUUCAAAUGUGUUCCACUGUAACUUGACGUCACUUUCUGUCCUGUCCUAUGUAAUUCCGGAGAACCUGGUCCCCACCAUGGAAGAUAGUUCCUGGGUAAAUAUGGCAAAAGGAGGUCUGGUCACAUCACAGGGCCUGGGCGCUCACCACUACGUCCAUGAGACGCCCGCCGAGCACAAGCCUCUACCUUAUCACAAGGGCAGAGGGCCAGUGUGGCAGCUUUCUGUAUCCCAAGCUCUUGCCCAGUGUCCUGGAAGAAUCCGAUCACAUGCGGGUUGGAAGGAUGAGUGCAAGGUCCACAGCGUCCAAUUCAUGGAGUUCUCGGAAGUGGAGAACCAGGGUGACUCCUACAGCACGAAAGCCAGCUGUAUCCACACCCAGGACCAGCAAGGGGUGCAUGUCAUGUAUGAGGAAGCCCUAAGCGAUCUGAAGGGACUAGAGGCGGUGUUCCUGCUUGUGGCCAGCCAUUACACUGAGAAAGAAAAAUGUCACAAAGUGGGCACCCAGCCAAAGAGUGGUCAGGACUGGGCAUGGGCCCAUGCAGGUGUGGACAGGUUUGCUGUGCUGUAUGACAUGUGGACUCAGGAAGCAGCUUUUCUGGAAAACAAAUGCCAGAGUUUUGACAGUUACUUUGAAGCCUACCAGCACAUGUUGGACGCUGAAGAGAGGUUCGCCUUAGCACAAGUGAUGAUGGAUAUCACGCACCGGUGCCCGAGGUAUGAUCUCAGCUACACCUAUUUCAUUAAGGCCUACUGGGAGGAAUUCAUCUGCCUGAGGCUUCACCUGCAGUUAGUGAGAGGUCUCCUCAACCAGCAUGUAGAGUGUCAGCGGGAGUAUGUCCAGAGGCUUUGGUGAGAGGAUCAUCUGGACAAUAGCAAUACCUUUGGACUUCCCCUUAAUAUAGUUUGCAAACAACUUAUUUCCAUCAACAAUAGCCACCCGGCUUUGAAAAAUGUUUACCUGCUGGAGUUCCACCCUUCCCUCAGCCUGGCAGCGCUUAUCCCCAGAGCCCUAGAGUAUCUCCUUCAAGAGGUCUGCCAUACCUGCAAACCUGCAUUAGCGGUUGCCUUGCCUCCCUGGAGUGACAUGUCCUGCAGCUGGCCCUGGACCUGUGGCUCACCCCAGCCAAGCCUGAGGCCUGGUACAGUAGCACAGCUCCAGAAAGAUCUGUUUUCAGCUAAAGUUAUGAGAGAUCCGUUUCUCGUGGGGGAGAUAGGCCUGGUGGCACUCAACUCUGCAGCAGUCAAAGGACAGAAACAAGGCCAAGACUCUCAUGUGCUACUCUUGGAGAUGUUUUCCAAGCUUCUCAAGCUCUUGACCCUCUGUGACCGGCUAAUAGAAAUGAGCCUGGAGAGUGCACACUUAGCUGGGUCGGGGUGGUCAGAGGACCCAGGUGGAAUAUAAAGUGUGCAGCAAAACAUGGGAAAGAGGCCAUGAGACUCCCUGCCUACAAGCCUGCCCCCUCUCUGCUCCCAGAGCA